UACCGGCGGCUCGAGUGGUGGCCGCUUUUACUGGGCUUAAAGGGUCCGUAGCUGGAUCUGUGUGUCCCUUGAGAAAUCCAUCGGCUUAACUGAUGGGCGUUCAGGGGAAACUGCAGUUCUAGGGACCGGGAGAGGUGAGAGGUACUGCCGGGGUAGGAGUGAAAUCCUGUAAUCCCGGUGGGACGACCUAUGGCGAAGGCAUCUCACCAGAACGGCUCCGACAGUGAGGGACGAAAGCUGGGGGAGCAAACCGG
rnacentral:rRNA from 1 species